AGAGUUUGAUCCUGGCUUAGGACGAACGCUGGCGGCGUGCCUAACACAUGCAAGUCGAGCGGGGACAUGCGACGGAGACGAAGUUUCGGAUGGAGUCAAAGAUGCAUUGUCUAGCGGCGGACGGGUGAGUAACGCGUGAGCAACCUGUCCCUUACAGGGGGAUAACACAGCGAAAGUUGUACUAAUACCGCAUGAGACCACGGUGAGACAUCUCACAGGGGUCAAAGGAGCAAUCCGGUAAAGGGGUGGGCUCGCGUCCGAUUAGAUAGUUGGUGAGGUAACGGCCCACCAAGUCGACGGUCGGUAGCCGACCUGAGAGGGUGAUCGGCCACAUUGGGACUGAGACACGGCCCAAACUCCUACGGGAGGCAGCAGUGGGGAAUAUUGGGCAAAGUGGGGGGAACCCUGACCCAGCAACGCCGCGUGAGGGAAGAAGGUUUUCGGAUCGUAAACCUCUGUCCUUGGUGAAGAGGAAGAGACGGUAGCCAAGGAGGAAGCCCCGGCUAACUACGUGCCAGCAGCCGC
rnacentral:rRNA from 1 species